GAACAAAAGAAAAUGUGGACACUGAGGAAACACAGUUACCAGCCUCAUACAAAUAUAAAGACGUUUGUCGGGGCUGACCUUAAGAUGCCUGUACGUGACUGCAGCCACUCUGGUCUCUGAAACAAUGUCAGGACAGGGUGAGAGAAGAACUGCAUCUGAAAUGAGUCACUCCAAGAAGCAUUCUGACACUGAAAGUGUCACAGAGAAGAGACCAGAGUCACCUACACAGAGCUGUGGGUCCAUGGAGAGUGAUGCGUCAAAGGACUUCAACCCACCCAACUUCAGAGAGGGAGAGCUGCCCCCUGAGCAAAGGUAUUUUGAGCUACUCCUACUAUCUCAUCCCCACAUUAAUGUAUGUUCUUCACAGGGCUGGUCCUAUUCUGACUGCAUGUUCAAAA
ensembl:lncRNA